AUUGAACGCUGGCGGCAUGCCUUACACAUGCAAGUCGAACGGCAGCGGGGGAGAAGCUUGCUUUUCCUGCCGGCGAGUGGCGAACGGGUGAGUAAUACAUCGGAACGUGCCCUGUAGUGGGGGAUAACUAGUCGAAAGAUUAGCUAAUACCGCAUACGACCUGAGGGGGAAAGUGGGGGACCGCAAGGCCUCAUGCUAUAGGAGCGGCCGAUGUCUGAUUAGCUAGUUGGUGGGGUAAAGGCCUACGAAGGCGACGAUCAGUAGCUGGUCUGAGAGGACGAUCAGCCACACUGGGACUGAGACACGGCCCAGACUCCUACGGGAGGCAGCAGUGGGGAAUUUUGGACAAUGGGCGAAAGCCUGAUCCAGCAAUGCCGCGUGUGUGGAGAAGGCCUUCGGGUUGUAAGGCACCUUUGUCCGGAGAGAAAUGGCUCUGGUUAAUACCUGGGGUCGAUGACGGUACCGGAAGAAUAAGGACCGGCUAACUACGUGCCAGCCGCCGCCGUAA
rnacentral:rRNA from 1 species